rnacentral:rRNA from 1 species
CGUAGGUGAACCUGCGGAAGGAUCAUUGUCAA